rnacentral:tRNA from 1 species
GCCGGGAUGGCGGAAUGGUAGACGCAGUGGACUCAAAAUCCACCGGGGGCAACUCUGUGGGAGUUCGAGUCUCCCUCUCGGCACCA